rnacentral:tRNA from 1 species
GCAUCGGUAGUUCAGUGGUAGAAUACUCGACAGCCGAGUACGAGGUCAGGAUUCGAUUCCCUGUCGAUACA